AGAGUUUGAUCCUGGCUCAGGACGAACACUGGCGGCGUGCUUAACACAUGCAAGUCGAGCGAGGCCCUCCUUCGGGGGGUGCCCUAGCGGCGAACGGGUGAGUAACACGCGGGCAACCUGCCCUCAGCUCUGGGAUAACUCCAAGAAAUUGGUGCUAAUACCGGAUGUGACCGCUGACCGCAUGGUCUGGUGGUGGAAAGAUUCAUCGGCUGAGGAUGGGCCCGCGGCCUAUCAGCUUGUUGGUGGGGUAAUGGCCCACCAAGGCGACGACGGGUAGCCGGCCUGAGAGGGUGACCGGCCACACUGGGACUGAGACACGGCCCAGACUCCUACGGGAGGCAGCAGUGGGGAAUAUUGCGCAAUGGGCGAAAGCCUGACGCAGCGACGCCGCGUGAGGGAUGACGGCCUUCGGGUUGUAAACCUCUUUCAGUAGGGACGAAGCGCAAGUGACGGUACCUACAGAAGAAGCACCGGCCAACUACGUGCCAGCAGCCGCGGUAAUACGUAGGGUGCAAGCGUUGUCCGGAAUUAUUGGGCGUAAAGAGCUCGUAGGCGGUCUGUCACGUCGGCUGUGAAAACCCGAGGCUCAACCUCGGGCCUGCAGUCGAUACGGGCAAACUAGAGUACUGCAGGGGAGACUGGAAUUCCUGGUGUAGCGGUGAAAUGCGCAGAUAUCAGGAGGAACACCGGUGGCGAAGGCGGGUCUCUGGGCAGUAACUGACGCUGAGGAGCGAAAGCGUGGGGAGCGAACAGGAUUAGAUACCCUAGUAGUCC
rnacentral:rRNA from 1 species